rnacentral:rRNA from 1 species
UACGAAGGGGGCUAGCGUUGCUCGGAAUUACUGGGCGUAAAGGGCGCGUAGGCGGUUCAUACAGUCAGAUGUGAAAUUCCUGGGCUCAACCUGGGGGCUGCAUUUGAUACGUGUGGACUAGAGUGGGGAAGAGGGUCGUGGAAUUCCCAGUGUAGAGGUGAAAUUCGUAGAUAUUGGGAAGAACACCGGUGGCGAAGGCGGCGACCUGGUCCUUGACUGACGCUGAGGCGCGAAAGCGUGGGGAGCAAACA